AUCAAGCAGGAAGUACAGAGAGUUCUCCAUAUAUUCCUUAGCCCCUAUUAUUAUCUUACAUUUGUGUGGUAUAUAUUUUCAAAUCAAUGAGCCCAUAUUGAUACAUUAUUAUUAACUAAUAUCCGUGGUUUACAUUAGGGCUCCCCCUUGGUGUUACACAUUCUAUGGGUUUAGACAAAUGCAUCAUGGCAUGCAGGCAUCACUGAAGUAUCACACAGGAUCGUUUCACUGCCCGGAAAACCCCCUCUGCUCCACCAGUCGUCCCUUCCCCACACCACCUCACCCCCGAACCGCAGAUUUUUUUUUAACUGUCUCUAUUGUUUUGCCUUUUCCAGUGUCAUAGAGGGGAAUUGUAUAACAUGUAGCCUUUUCAGAUUGGCUUCUUUCACUUAGUAACACGCAUGUCAGUUGCUUCCAUGUCUUUUCAGAGCUCAAUAGCUCAUUUCCUCUUAGCCCUGAACAACAUGCCAUUGUCUGCGUGUUCCCUCGUUUAUUUACCCAUUCACCUGCUUGAAGACAUCUUGGUUGUUUCCGGGUUUUGGCUACCUUCAUCCCCAAACCGGAACUGAUGCACGGCCUGCAGCAGUCAUGGGACCGGAGAGAUUGAAUCUCAAGAAGACUGGGCGUGUGGUGGCACACACCUGUGGUCACAGCUACUUGGGAGGCUGAGGCAGGAGAAUCGCUUGAAUCCGGGAGGUGGAGG